UACGAAGGGGGCUAGCGUUGUUCGGAAUUACUGGGCGUAAAGCGCGUGUAGGCGGGUCCUUAAGUCAGGGGGGAAAUGCCAAGGCUCAACCUUGGAACUGCCUUUGAUACUGGGGAUCUUGAGUCCGGGAGAGGUGAGUGGAACUGCGAGUGUAGAGGUGAAAUUCGUAGAUAUUCGCAAGAACACCAGUGGCGAAGGCGGCUCACUGGCCCGGAACUGACGCUGAGGCACGAAAGCGUGGGGAGCAAACAGG
rnacentral:rRNA from 1 species